AGUGAACGCUGGCGGCGUGCUUAACACAUGCAAGUCGAACGAGAACGGAAUAUAGCUUGCUAUAUUUGUCAGCUAAGUGGCGCACGGGUGAGUAAUGUAUAGAUAACCUGCCCUUAAGAAAGGAAUAACGGUUGGAAACGACUGCUAAUGCCCUAUAUGCCUUUAAUACAUAAGUAUGCAAGGGAAACGCUUUAGUGCUUAAGGAUGGGUCUGUAUGGUAUCAGCUUGUUGGUGAGGUAAUGGCUCACCAAGGCUAUGACGCCUAACUGGUUUGAGAGGAUGAUCAGUCACACUGGAACUGAGACACGGUCCAGACUCCUACGGGAGGCAGCAGUGGGGAAUAUUGCACAAUGGACGAAAGUCUGAUGCAGCAACGCCGCGUGGAGGAUGACACAUUUCGGUGCGUAAACUCCUUUUAUAUAGGGAGAUAAUGACGGUACUAUAUGAAUAAGCACCGGCUAACUCCGUGCCAGCCGCCGCAGUAACAC
rnacentral:rRNA from 1 species